AAUCAUGUAUGUAUAUCAAUCAAGUACUGAUGAAACAGAAGUAUUAUUGGAAAAAAACAAGAAGAGGAGUAAAUUCAAAGACAAAAUGAUUUGAAUUUCUCGGAGAAGGUAAAAGAAGAAGACAGCGUGGAGAAAGAGCCUAGAAUGUUGAACGUCGUGUGGGCUUCACUCUGUACCACUACCACCCCAAAACCCUAGCUUCAUACCCU
rnacentral:lncRNA from 1 species